rnacentral:rRNA from 1 species
AGUGAACGCUGGCGGUAGGCCUAACACAUGCAAGUCGAACGGCAGCACAGUAAGAGCUUGCUCUUACGGGUGGCGAGUGCGGACGGGUGAGGAAUACAUCGGAAUCUACUUUUUCGUGGGGGAUAACGUAGGGAAACUUACGCUAAUACCGCAUACGACCUACGGGUGAAAGCAGGGGAUCUUCGGACCUUGCGCGAUUGAAUGAGCCGAUGUCGGAUUAGCUAGUUGGCGGGGUAAAGGCCCACCAAGGCGACGAUCCGUAGCUGGUCUGAGAGGAUGAUCAGCCACACUGGAACUGAGACACGAUCCAGACUCCUACGGGAGGCAGCAGUGGGGAAUAUUGGACAAUGGGCGCAAGCCUGAUCCAGCCAUACCGCGUGGGUGAAGAAGGCCUUCGGGUUGUAAAGCCCUUUUGUUGGGAAAGAAAAGCAGCAGGUUAAUACCCCGCUGUUCUGACGGUACCCAAAGAAUAAGCACCGGCUAACUUCGUG